GAGGAGGGGGCGGCGGCGGCGCAGGUAGUCUCCAGAGGGGGCCGGCGGCGGGGGGAACAUGGCGCUGGGUACCAGGGCGCCGCGGCGGCUGCUGCACCUGCCGGCCGGGAGCUGCCUCCCCCUCCUGCUGCUGCUGCUCCUCCUCCUCUGCGGCCAGCUCGGGGGAGGACAGAAGAAGAAGGAGAAUCUUUUGGCUGAAAAGGUGGAACAGCUUAUGGAGUGGAGCUCAAGGCGCUCAGUCAUCCGCAUGAAUGGAGACAAAUUCCGAAGAUUUGUGAAGGCUCCACCUCGUAACUACUCUGUGAUAGUGAUGUUCACUGCUCUCCAGCCGCAGCGGCAGUGUUCUGUUUGCAGGCAAGCUAACGAAGAGUAUCAAGUGCUGGCCAAUUCAUGGCGCUAUUCAUCUGCUUUUUCAAACAAAUUGUUUUUCACAAUAGUGGAUUAUGAUGAAGGGGCAGAUGUUUUUCAACAGCUGAAUAUGAACUCUGCUCCGACUUUCAUGCAUUUUCCCCCGAAAGGUAAACCCAAGAGAGCUGACACAUUUGACCUGCAGAGAAUUGGAUUUGCAGCUGAGCAGCUAGCUAAAUGGAUAGCUGACAGAACAGAUGUUCAUAUUAGAGUAUUCAGGCCUCCUAACUAUUCUGGCACAAUUGCACUGGCUCUUCUGGUAUCUCUUGUUGGUGGCUUGUUAUAUCUGCGAAGAAAUAAUUUAGAAUUCAUCUACAACAAGACUGGCUGGGCCAUGGCAGCUCUGUGUGUUGUGUUUGCUAUGACAUCUGGUCAAAUGUGGAAUCAUAUCCGUGGACCCCCAUACGCUCAUAAAAAUCCUCAGAAUGGACAAGUGAGUUACAUACACGGAAGCAGUCAGGCUCAGUUUGUUGCAGAGUCGCAUAUUAUUCUUCUACUGAGUAUCCUUCAAAAAGUGCUGAAUAAAAAAACGCAAGUUGAGGCUUGCUCUGACAGUGCAUAUCAUUGACAUUUUGAGCAGGAUACCUCUGCUCAGAUACAGCAUCAGGAUUUCAGGGAGAUUCAGCUUUUUCAGUUUUCCAGUUGAGCUGGCUGAAGCACAAGGCGAUCAAGUGUCCUGCAUUGUCAUACAAUGAAUCAACAGUUUUUCCAGGAUUCUCCUGCCUUGUACUCAGUGACCAGAAGUGCUUGGGCAUUUAUAAUUGUUAGAAAGGUAUGAGAAGAGAGCUGGACAGGGUCUUUUGUUCUAAAUAUUAUUUGUUAAUAUUUCCCUUUCGCUCCCCUCACCCAAAACCAAAAAGGUAAGUGUAGUAAGUUCAGUAUCCUGUAUGAAAUGUUCAAAAUAAAUAAAAUGGAUUAUCAGAGCAAAAUAACAAGUGAUAGAUCUUAACUGUAUUGCAAGAGGGUGAAAGCUGUGGUUCCCUUAUCUGAAAUAGAAGUUAAGUUGCAGCCAUGGAAGUAGGCUGUUUAGUGCAAAAGUGAGAUAAGCAGUGCCUAAAAGACAUGUAGGAUUUUAAAGACAAUAUUUUUUCUUUCAAUAAUUAAAAAAUUGAAAUAUUCCCCCUCAUAAAACAGCCUUAGAUAACAGUUUGGUUAAAGUGGUAUUCUGAAAACAUCACUGAGCAUAUUUAUUCCCACUUCUCUAGUUCUGUGUCGGAGAUAUAUUCAGAAUAUGCCAAGUCUCAUGCAGUAAUUCCUGAACUUCUUGAAAUAGGUAUUUGCUGUAGCUGAAGCCAGAGGGUUUUGAGGUGAAAAAAGGUAGUGGUUUGUUAUUGUGAGCAUCAGUACAACUAGAAUUAAGUCAACUAAAAGUAUUGAAGUACAUCUUGAUUGCCUGUGUACAAUUUAUGUUUAAAUUAAGUUUAUCCUAAAAUUCAAAUAAAUUACUUUCAAAGUCUUCUUCCUGUUUUCAGCUUCUGAAUUAGGACACAGCCUUCUUCACUGAGAUGAGAUAUACAGAGAUUGGUAUCUUGAAGAUGCCUCCUUUUCUCAGCUCUCAAGGCAUGCUGAAUCAUCAUGGUCCAUCAUUAGACCACGGUUAUGGUCUAAUUGAGAGCUGAUUGCAGAUUGAAUAACAUAAGCUGAAUAUUAGAAUCAUUGCUCAUUGUUUCAUGAACUGAAGCGACAAUGCUUUGAAAGAAACCAUGAGAACUAGUUCAUUUCAGAGCCACCCUUUUUGUCUUGAUUAGUUUCUUCAUCCUAUCAUAAGAAAUCAGAUUCUCCAGCUGGGGGAAGUGUGAGUAAUAUCUUGUAUUCAAGAACUGUACAUAGCUGAAGAAUAUUUGCUAAAUAGAACCACUAGAAUUUGUGUUGUGCUCAGAAUUUUCAGGUAUAAUUGACUACAGUUAGUCUGCUUAAAUCCACCUUGAAAUGGUUCAGUUAAAAAAAAAAAACUAUAAUGUGGUCAGCAUUUCUGAAAUUACAGCAUGUAUUUUAGACAUAUUUAAAUAUUAAUAGGAAAAAGUUAAGACAUAUGUCUCUCUAGAUUAUACCUCUUAGGGGGUCAGCAAAGAAUUUCUUAUGUUUUAAUCAUUAACCCCCUAGCCAAAAAAAAAAAGCCCACAGGUUUGCUUGUUUGAUCAUAUUGUUUUUACAGUAACCCUUCACAAAAACUAUAUAUGCUUUUCUUUGUUCAAUGUAUGAUUAAAAGUGAACCAGAAGUUUUUAAAGUUUGAGUGAUAUCCUGUCCCCAUUUCAGUUAACAAUAAAUUGAGCACAGAUGUAAGUAGAUGAGUAUUUUGUUCACUCACUUUUCUUUCUCAUGUUAUUAAGUGAUCUGCAACUAAAAGGUAAAAUUUCUUGAUGUGAAUAAUGCUAAUGCAGGAUUUUAUACUCUUGGCAGUAAUCUGGUAGAAUACAAAUGAGACCACAAAACUUUUUUCACAAAGGUAACCAAGUGUCAGUCAAAUUAUUUUCUCACCUUCUUUUAUUCCAUACUCACUACUAAUUAGUACUAAAUUUCUGAAGGAAAGUUAUAAAUGGUAUAUCACAUUAGCAAACUAACAACCUGUCAGAUUUUUUCCCUUUGGGGCAUUUUAGCUGAAAUUAAUAGGAAUUUAAUUUCCUAUUAAAGUAUGCUAAUAAAAAGUAUCCAGAAUUUACUAGCAAUCAUUUUUCAUUUUGUAAUGUCUCUAUCACUCUGGAGCUUAUUGAUUCUGUCAUAUUUUUUUUAUACUGCCAGUCAGGCAUCUUGUUUUUGCAGGGCUAAAUGUUAUGUUCUGUUGCUGCUGAUCUUUUCAUCUUAUGAAUUUUAAUGAUGAGCCUGUUUUUUAUCCUCCUCUAAAACUGUUCUUCCUCCUGUAUCAAAGCAUUCAGAAUCUUUUCAAAAGCACUAGCUAAAUAAUGUGUUGUCAAUUUCUAUGAAAAGCAUCUGCCAGCUGGAAAAAGGGGCAGCAGAAGUUUAAUAUGUACAGAUAAAAUCUUUCCAAAUUAAACAUUAAAAGAAAUGUUGCUGGGUUUACACACACACAAGUUGCUAGACAGGGAUACAUUUGUCAGGAAGUAUGAACAUCUGAAUUUGAAAUAUUUGCUAGUCCAAGUUUAUCUGAGAGCCACAUUCCCCUCAUCUUUUCAGAAUACUUUCAUAAUGCACUGUGAGGGAGAUAAAGAGAAAUUAGAAAAUAAAUCUUUUCAUGACAUCUCUUUUUUUCUUUUUUUUGCAGAUAGGAAACUGGCGAAGUAACCAGUUGCCAAAACUUUAAAUUCUGUGCUGCUAGAGGAAUAUGAUGUUGUAAAAGAUUAUUUUCAGGGAUAGGACUGUUGCUGUCCUUUGUGGAAUAUUAAAGUAAAGAAAAGACACAACAUACAAAGUUAGAAACAGGAGCCAAAAAAUGACUUCAGUUAAAUAUUCUGUGGUAAACAGCUCAUGAUUGCAUUGAAAUCACAACUCAGUAAGACUGAAUUUUUACUUCAACAUUGUAGAGUAGAAUUAAAAUAAAUGCUCAGUGUUGCAGUGUAAAGCUAUGAAACCAGUGUCACUGAAGCUAAAAAUCAACCAAGUGAGGCUGAAAGCUCAACAAUGAUGACUAGAGUUAGAAAGCAACAGCUGAAGCAAAAAUAGUGACAGUGUGAGUGAAGCUGUAGCACUAAUGAUGGGACACUCCAAAAGAGAGAAGAAAAUCAGCCCAGUUCUGCUGGUUACAGAUCUACUCUAAAAUUCUCCAUUGCAGAGGAGACAGUUCCUUUUGUGAAACUGUUCUUCCUGAUGAUAAGAAAAAUGGAUUUAAAAUACAGUCAGAUAAGAAAAUAAGAACUCUGUUACAGAAUAGUUGUCUGCCAAAUGGCUUUUUAGUGUGUGUUUGUUUUUUCUUAGAAGCAAGCAGGUAAGGGAAAUGGCAAAGAACUACUUUAAGUGCAGUAUUGCAUAAGAUAAUCAAGCAAAUAAAUUCCACUUAUGAAGCAGUCUAAAACCUUUGCAGAGACUAGCACUUCCCUGAAAGGCUGUGGUAAGUUUCCCUCAAAUCUUGUUUUUUUCCCCUGACUCAGCUAACCUAAGAACAAAAGUACCGUUAUAAACCUAAAUGAGGAAUCUGGUAAAAUAAAAUUAUUAUUAGACAAUGCUACAUUAGGCCAUUUCUUAAUAGGAUGAAAAUAUAUGUGGAAUCUGAGUCUGGUUUUUUUUCAGUCCUUCCUGUCCAGCUUUCUCCAUUCAUUCAUUUUUAUCUUUUUUAACUUUUGAAAGCAGAGAAAUAAAUGAUUCUCUUCUCAACAUUAUUCCUCUUCUUCUUCGUACUUAGAAGCUUAUAAGUAGCACAGGAGAUUUCCAGUUUCUUAUGCUUAGUGCAUGCCUUCAUGAAUGUGAAUUUUAACAAGCAAAAUUUUUAGAAAAUAAUUUUCAAUUGACUUUGUCUCGUGGAUUCCACCUUUUUUAUGUAAUUCAAAAACUAAACUGGCCUCAUUAGUAGUAUUUGUACUCUGGUUAAUGAAUAUUUUGUCAAGUCCAAUAAUAAGCUUCUGGAAUGUUUUUGUUAUGCUUUUCAUAUUGCACACUUGAGUUUAAUAGGAAUUUUUUAUUAGAAUAUAUACUUUACAGAAUUUUCUAAAGAAAUAAAGAUCUAGUCUAUGAACUCUGCAUUUAAAGAUACUAGCUAGUUUCCAAAGCACCAAUCUUUGCUUAGUUCUGAUGCCUCUUAAAUCAAUGUUACACAAUUUCGUUAGCUGCAGGAUUAGGUCUGAUGUGAACAUUUGAAGAAAUCAUGUCUAAGGAUCAAGUUUUUCACCCUGUGGCUUUACUGGGAACGUGAUCGAACCCAAAGAUGACAUAAGGAGAAACAAGUCUGCAGAUAGAUUGUAUUACUCAUAAUACCCAUUUGAUAAGAUAUUUCACAGAAUCACAGAAUGGCUGAGGUUGGAAGGGACCUCUGGAGAUCAUCUAGUCCAACCCCCCUGCUCAAGCAGGGUCACCUAGAGCACAUUGCACAGGAUCGCAUCCAGACGGGUUUUGAAUAUCUCCAGAGAAGGAGACUCCACAACCUCUCUGGGCAACCUGUUCCAGUGCUCUUUCACCUUCACAGUAAAGAAGUUUUUCCUUAUAUUCAGAUGGAACUGAAUAUUUAAUUCUGCUUUGUUGAUUGUUCCUGAAAUAGCUGAUCAGAAAGUAUGUGCAUACGAAAUUCAUGGAUCCUAGAGAGAUGCAGUAUUUCAGUCCAUCACAGUGCUUCCCAGCGGUAGUAUAAUGACAUCGUAAUAACUAUAACCAGGUUAGUCUCCUGUGACCUUUCUGCAAUUCUCUCUACUGCUUACAGAAGAUACACUAUGGAUGAAGCAUUCACAUUACUUCCAGCUUAUUUUUCUUCUCAAUUGUUUCGAAUUACUAAAAUAUUUAGGUGUAAAAUUAUACAUGUGUUAAUGCCUGUUUCAUGAUUAGGACCUGCUGGGAUUCAUAAUGGAGGCAUCCUGGUGCACAAGUCCCAUGAAGUAACCAGUUCCCUAAACACAAUCAGCAGAGCGUGCCUCUUAACAAUAUUAAAUUAGCAAGAGUCAAGCAAUUACAGACAUAUUCUUUCAAAACAGCCAUUGAAAGAAGAGAAAUAGUGAUGCUAAUGUUUAUCUUAAAACCCUCAUCAAUUCCCAUGUUAUUGACUAUGUACGCAUUUCUGAUGCUUUGGAAAAAAGUCUAUAAAUGGCGCUAAGAACAGGAAUCUAAAGAUGGUCUAUCGCAAAAUCACUGGGCUUCAAUGGCAGUAUCUCUUUCUUGCUUUUUUCUGCCAUAAGGAAUUGUGCAUUCCUCUGUAGUAGGCCAGCAUCAACAGAAAGAUGGAGAAUGCCUCAAUUUCAGAACAAAAUAGAUACCAAUUUCUUUACUUCCUGUGCAAAUAGUUUAUGUACAAGGCUAUUACACAAAACUUCAAUAUAACCAGUUAUUUCUAAGAGUCAGCCUGUGCUUUAUACCUUGUGCAGGUAUGAGAACGCAAUUUGGGCUACUAAUCUAUUUCUAAUAAGCGUCUAAUUUAGGACUGUAGGUAGAUGUCUAUAUGCAAGAGAUGGUAUUUAAACAUACAUUUUUUUAAUAUUGCCUAUUGCCUGAGGUGAGCAUUUGCCUCUUUUCACCCUCAGUGUUUGCUUUUGUUAGUUCUAUUAUUUGAGAUUUGAGUUUUCUCAUUCUAUGUAUUCGAAAUUUAGAAAUACCAAACCCAAAUCAGGGUGCUAGUCUCAGAUUAAGUAUGAUGUGAUUUCUAAAUCCUUUUGCUUAUGCUUAGUUUAAUUGAAAAUGUGUAACUGAAAUUUAUUAUUAAAAUUAUGGUCUGACGUGACAAAUACCAAUAUGGACAUUGAUAGGAAUAGUGCAAGAUACAUUUCUUGGUGUUUUUGAGUCCUGUAUAAUGUUACAGGAUACAGAUAUUGCUCCUGUAUGUAGGAUAUUUGAUGUAUUUCUUUGGUCAAUAGAAAUGUCUUCUCAUUCUUUAAGUUUUUAGUUAGUCUUUCAUCCUCCUACAUAACCCUGGGUAAGUAACAUUUUAAAAAAUUCUUCCUCAUUCAAGAUUCAGUUAUCUUUGAAUAUUGGGGUAUUUCUCUGAACACCUGCAAGGACGUUGCAUUAUGUUGUCUGAUUCUGUUUUUUGAAACAUACACCAACACAUAAAUAUGAUGCAUACACAGUUAAUAAUACUCUAUCUCCUGAGGAAUAACAGUAUCUGCAGACGCAAUUAUAGAGCACUGAGGCAUCUGCAGACAUGGAGAUGAUAAAAGAAAAUGGCAGAUGGAUAGGAGAUAGGUUAUUGUGUAAGUAACAGACACUAUAACAGUCUGUCUUUUGAAAUGAAGACUUAUUUGAUUAAGCAAAGAACAUUGUAGUAUGCUAUGAAUACAGUAGAAAACUAUCAAAAUUUGUAAUGUCCAAGUGAAGUUCCUAUUUUCUGAAACUGUGAGAUCCCAUGAUGCGCUCCUACCUCAGUAUGGCAUUCACACAUGCCCCCUGUUCAGAACAGGUGUUAAGCACAGUAGUAACCAUUCCUUUUUAUUUAUAGUUUCAAAUAAAAAUUAAGUGAAUGGUUUCAGAUCUUGCUAGAUUAGUUAAUUUGUUUUAUCAUUAUGUACUUGCUCACACUUGUAACACAUAAUUAGACAGUAAAACACUGAAAGUGACUGAGGACUUUGCCUCUGAGAUAUUUCUCUGCUGAAUAAAAUUAAGCAAUAUGAAACUAAAAAGGGAGAUAAUGUCUAUUUAAAAGCAUUUUAACAGCUUUAGUUUGCAUCAGAUAAUGAAUGAAUUAAUAGAACUGUGUGCAAUAACACUGAAUGUUUUCUGGUUUAGUCUUCAUUUUCUAAAAUACUUUAUUUUCAAGAUACAGCAUACUGUAAGAUAGUGGGGAAUAGCUGUUUCCAUAAUGAUUAAAACUCUGUGUCCUGCUUGUGUCUUUGCAAUUUCUUGAAUCGUCUUUCCUUUCUUUUGUAGAAUAUGUAAAUAAAAAUGUUACUGCA